AUUGAACGCUAGCGGGAUGCUUUACACAUGCAAGUCGAACGGCAGCGCGGACUUCGGUCUGGCGGCGAGUGGCGAACGGGUGAGUAAUGUAUCGGAACGUGCCCAGUAGCGGGGGAUAACUACGCGAAAGCGUAGCUAAUACCGCAUACGCCCUACGGGGGAAAGCAGGGGAUCGUAAGACCUUGCACUAUUGGAUCGGCCGAUAUCGGAUUAGCUAGUUGGUGAGGUAACGGCUCACCAAGGCGACGAUCCGUAGCUGGUUUGAGAGGACGACCAGCCACACUGGGACUGAGACACGGCCCAGACUCCUACGGGAGGCAGCAGUGGGGAAUUUUGGACAAUGGGGGCAACCCUGAUCCAGCCAUCCCGCGUGUGCGAUGAAGGCCUUCGGGUUGUAAAGCACUUUUGGCAGGAAAGAAACGUCGCGGGCUAAUACCCCGUGGAACUGACGGUACCUGCAGAAUAAGCACCGGCUAACUACGUG
rnacentral:rRNA from 1 species